UGCCAGCAACUGCUCGUGUCAGUUUUUGUUUUGUGCAGCUUGUGCAGCUGCAAUCCGGCGAAAAUUGUGUAAAGGAUCAGGGAUCUGAUCCAGCACCAUUCCGGUGUUCUUGUAUUCACCGUAAACAUUCCAGAGGAAUCUAGGAAUCCACCGAUUGAAUCCAGCCAAUGCGAGAUGACGUUCGGGAUGAAACUCUGGAAUAUUUCCCUUCUGCCAUAUUGGCGCAACAAUUGUUUGCCGUUGCCAGACGACCUGGAUUUCAUGUUUAGCCCUGCCUACCAUUGUUCAUUCCAACAAGGAUUAUCUUGCUGCCAUCGCAGUUAAGGCGACAACAAAGGUCCUGACCGUUUCGCCCACUAUCGAAGUGGAAAUGGCUUACGCAUCUAUACUAAUAUGGGGCCCCCAUUGCUAGCUCUGCCCAUUGGCUCAUCAAUCAAAUAAGGACAUAACAUUAAUAAAUAUUUUCCAAAAACAAA